AGGAGUUUUAGCACUAGGUGUUGUUGGUGUACCUUUAAGGAGUUUCAUAUACUCCUUACCUAUAAACUUGUACCCCAUCUUAAGCAAGCAUCCAAAAAAGAUCCUUGAUAUUUGCUUUUGGUCCAGUCUGCUUGAAAUCUAGUGCUCUAGAUAUUUUUCUUUUUAACUAGAGAAGAAAUUAUAUUUCCAUAGGGUAGGUUAUUUUUAUCUCCCAAACAUGCUUCCCUCAUUCGUUCGAUCAUAAAUCCAGCUACAUUGAAGGGGAUUUCAUUAAUAGUAAUCUCCAUUAACCAAUGAUCUUGG
rnacentral:lncRNA from 1 species